GAAUUCAAUUAGCUUGGCUUGCAAUAGUAUAUCGGUUUUCUUUUUAUAUUGAGAUGUACAAUACCGUAUCUCUUGAUCAUCGAUACAACCAUAUCUAAAUGUUUUUUUUAUUAUAAAUUUUAUUUUGGGAAAUAGCAUAUCGCAUUUAUAAUUCUGCUAAAAGUGAUUUCGUAAAUUGUUCGCAAAGAAUGGGGGACCAAAUCUGACUCCAUCACGUUCCCUGAUAAGUCGAAUAAGAUUUUUUGAGAAAAUUAGUGAUUGAAGAUAAGAAGCGAACGGGAAAAAAAAAGAAAAAAAAAACAGAGGUGAGCAAUCGCAGUUUCAGAGUCAUUCCAAGAGCUCAACUUUCGAUCUCAAUCAUUUCCAUUUGAUCUUUCACGUUUCUCCUCUUCUUUGUUCCUUGAUUAGAUCAUUCCCAAACCCUAAACUUUGCAAUUGGGAUCUUCCCUGUUUCUCUCACAUUCCAUUGCCGACACUGCGAGCUCAUUUCACGUGAAGAACAGGGGCUCCCGAUUCGAUUGAGGGCUGUGAAAUCAGGGAUCUGGGUUUACGAAUCUGACGUUCCCGAGUUUGUUCGGAGAUCUGCGUUUCUUUCCGUCUAUUUUUUAAAAUUUAUUUUUGAAUUGGGGAAAUGGGGAGCUCUUUGGGGGAGAAUGUUGUGGCUGUGAUCAUGGUGGGUGGUCCAACCAAAGGAACUCGGUUCAGACCAUUGUCCCUGAACAUUCCGAAGCCGCUCUCCCCUCUUGCUGCCCAGCCAAUGGUGCAUCAUCCAAUUUCUGCCUGCAAAAGGAUUCCAAAUUUAGCUCAGAUAUUCCUUGUUGGCUUCUAUGAGGAAAGGGAAUUUGCCCUCUAUGUAUCUGCCAUUUCAAAUGAACUCAAAAUUCCCGUUCGAUAUUUGCGAGAAGACAAACCUCAUGGUUCAGCCGGUGGGUUGUAUCACUUUAGAGAUUUGAUAAUGGAGGAGAACCCGUCUCACAUCUUCCUGCUUAACUGUGAUGUCUGCUGCAGUUUCCCGUUGGCAGAAAUGCUCGAGGCUCACAAGGGGUAUGGAGGAAUGGGAACUCUUCUUGUGAUAAAGGUUUCUCCCGAGUCAGCCAGCCAAUUCGGGGAGCUGGUAGCUGAUCCAGUUACUAAUGAACUGCUGCAUUACACUGAGAAACCCGAGACUUUUGUCAGUGACCGUAUAAACUGCGGUGUUUAUGUAUUUACUCCUGAAAUUUUUACAGCCAUACAGGAUGUUUCCUCUCAAAGAAAAGACAGAGUAACACUACGACGUGUGUCGAGCUUUGAAGCCCUUCAACCAGCCACAAGGAUCCCGACCGAUUUUGUGAGACUGGAUCAGGAUAUACUCUCACCUCUUGCUGGGAAGAAGCAGCUAUACACAUACGAGACCAUGGAUUUCUGGGAGCAAAUCAAAUCUCCCGGAAUGUCGCUCAAGUGUUCGGGUCUUUAUCUUUCUCGAUUUCGGUUGACAUCUCCUCAUCUGCUGGCUAGUGGGGAUGGAACAAGGAGCGCGACAGUUAUUGGCGAUGUUUAUAUUCAUCCCUCUGCAAAAGUACACCCAACUGCAAAGAUCGGUCCAAACGUUUCGAUCUCUGCGAAUGCCCGUAUCGGACCAGGUGUAAGGCUUAUCAACUGUAUCAUACUUGACGAUGUCGAUAUCAUGGAAAACGCUGUCGUGACAAACGCAAUCGUCGGGUGGAAAUCUUCACUCGGAAGAUGGUCCCGUGUCCAGGCCGAAGGACACUACAGUUCCAAACUCGGGGUCACAAUUCUCGGAGAAUCAGUGGCGGUUGAAGACGAGGUAGUUGUAACCAGCAGCAUUGUUCUUCCCAACAAGACGCUGAACGUCAGCGUUCAAGAUGAGAUCAUUUUGUGAUGAAUGUCGUCAUAUUACCAUGCAAAUGUACCAUUUUGUCGGAUUCAGUGCUUUUUUGUUGUUGGCGUUAGAAUCACUUGAAAAGCAAUUUCACAUGUUGUAACCGAUAUUUUGAAGGAGAUUUGGUCUUACGUUUAUCAUAGGACAGGCUGGAUUUUCGGUCGGAACUCGUGGGUUAUGUUUGAGUUGGCAAUACAUCUUUG